GACGAACGCUGGCGGCGUGCUUAACACAUGCAAGUCGAACGGUAAAGCCCUUCGGGGUACACGAGUGGCGAACGGGUGAGUAACACGUGGGUGAUCUGCCCUGCACUUCGGGAUAAGCCUGGGAAACUGGGUCUAAUACCGGAUAGGACCACUGCCUGCAUGGGGGGUGGUGGAAAGCUUUUGCGGUGUGGGAUGGGCCCGCGGCCUAUCAGCUUGUUGGUGGGGUGAUGGCCUACCAAGGCGACGACGGGUAGCCGGCCGGAGAGGGUGACCGGCCACACUGGGACUGAGAUACGGCCCAGACUCCUACGGGAGGCAGCAGUGGGGAAUAUUGCACAAUGGGCGCAAGCCUGAUGCAGCGACGCCGCGUGAGGGAUGACGGCCUUCGGGUUGUAAACCUCUUUCAGCACCGACGAAGCGCAAGUGACGGUAGGUGCAGAAGAAGGACCGGCCAACUACGUGCCAGCAGCCGCAGUAA
rnacentral:rRNA from 1 species